rnacentral:rRNA from 1 species
UACGUAGGUGGCAAGCGUUGUCCGGAUUUACUGGGCGUAAAGAGCGCGCAGGCGGUCGGCCAAGUCGAGUGUGAAAGCCCCCGGCUCAACUGGGGAGGGUCAUUCGAUACUGGUCGACUCGAAGGCAGGAGAGGGAAGCGGAAUUCCCGGUGUAGUGGUGAAAUGCGUAGAUAUUGGGAAGAACACCUGAGGCGAAGGCGGGUUGCUGGGCUGAUACUGACGCUGAGGCGCGAAAGCCAGGGGAGCAAACGGG